rnacentral:rRNA from 1 species
GGGAGGCAGCAGUGAGGAAUAUUGGUCAAUGGGCUGAAGCCUGAACCAGCCAUCCCGCGUGCAGGAAGAAGGCCCUAUGGGUUGUAAACUGCUUUUGCACAUGAAGAAUGGUAUCCUCGUGAGGGUAUAUGACGGUAAUGUGUGAAUAAGCACCGGCUAACUCCGUGGCAGCAGCCGCGGUAAUACGGAGGGUGCAAGCGUUAUCCGGAUUUAUUGGGUUUAAAGGGUGCGUAGGCGGCAAAUUAAGUCAGUGGUGAAAUCCUGCAGCUUAACUGUAGAUGUGCCAUUGAAACUGAAUUGCUUGAGUGAUCUUGAGGUAGGCGGAAUGUGUAGUGUAGCGGUGAAAUGCUUAGAUAUUACACAGAACACCCAUUGCGAAGGCAGCUUACUAAGGAUUAACUGACGCUCAGGCACGAAAGCGUGGGGAUCGAACAGGAUUAGAUACCCCUGUAC